rnacentral:rRNA from 1 species
GACGAAGGGGGCUAGCGUUGUUCGGAUUCAUUGGGCGUAAAGGGUGCGUAGGUGGCGGGGUAAGUCUGGUGUGAAAUCUCGGGGCUCAACCCCGAAACUGCACUGGAUACUGCCUUGCUAGAGUACUGGAGAGGAGAUUGGAAUUUACGGUGUAGCAGUGAAAUGCGUAGAUAUCGUAAGGAAGACCAGUGGCGAAGGCGAAUCUCUGGACAGUUACUGACACUGAGGCACGAAGGCCAGGGGAGCAAACGGG